rnacentral:rRNA from 1 species
CGCUGGCGGCAGGCCUAACACAUGCAAGUCGGACGGUAGCACAGAGGAGCUUGCUCCUUGGGUGACGAGUGGCGGGCGGGUGAGUAAUGUCUGGGGAUCUGCCCGAUAGAGGGGGAUAACCACUGGAAACGGUGGCUAAUACCGCAUAACGUCGCAAGACCAAAGAGGGGGACCUUCGGGCCUCUCACUAUCGGAUGAACCCAGAUGGGAUUAGCUAGUAGGCGGGGUAAUGGCCCACCUAGGCGACGAUCCCUAGCUGGUCUGAGAGGAUGACCAGCCACACUGGAACUGAGACACGGUCCAGACUCCUACGGGAGGCAGCAGUGGGGAAUAUUGCACAAUGGGCGCAAGCCUGAUGCAGCCAUGCCGCGUGUAUGAAGAAGGCCUUCGGGUUGUAAAGUACUUUCAGCGGGGAGGAAGGCGAUGUGGUUAAUAACCGCAUCGAUUGACGUUACCCGCAGAAGAAGCACCGGCU